CCUACGGGGGGCUGCAGUAAGGAAUAUUGGUCAAUGGACGAAAGUCUGAACCAGCCAUCCCGCGUGCAGGAUGAAAGCCCUAUGGGUUGUAAACUGCUUUUAGCAGAGAAGAAAAGCUUUCAUUAAUGAGAGUCUGACGGUAUCUGCAGAAUAAGCACCGGCUACCUCCGUGCCAGCAGCCGCGGUAAUACGGAGGGUGCGGGCAUUAUCCGGAAUUACUGGUGUUAAAGGGGAGGUAGACGGCAUAUGAGAAAUCUUGUCGCUUAACGAUAAAAUUGCAAAUGAUACUGGUACUCUUGAAUUGGGUUGAGGUUAGCGGAAUGUGACAUGUAGCGGUGAAAUGCAUAGAUAUGUCAUGGAACACCAAUUGCGAAGGCAGCUAACUGGGCCUUGAUUGACGCUGAGGCACGAAAGCGUGGGUAGCGAACAGGAUUAGAUACCCCUGUAGUC
rnacentral:rRNA from 1 species